rnacentral:lncRNA from 1 species
UUAUGUAUCUUUGCUUUGUGAGUAUGAGGAACUAAACCCCUCUUAGUUAGGGGGUGAUUUGAAACUAUGUUCAUACUUGCAAUAUGAUUUGAUUACAUCCAGUUGUGAUUCAUAAGUUGUGAAUUCAAUUUACUUAUCCUUUCAUAUAAAAACUAAUUUGUGUAUGUUGGUUAAGAGUGCACGCUUAAUUUUCAUGCAUGAAUUUGACGCUAGAAUAUAAGGGAGUUUCACCUAAUUGUUAUAAACUUAUAUUCACAAGUAGUGAAGGUUGCUAGUCACAAUCACGUUAAGUAAACUCUUGGCAUAAGUUUCAUGCAAAUCAUAGUAACGAGUGCCUCGUCAAUGCUUAUGUUUUUCAUAGAACUUAAUGAUUCUUGCUUGUAUCUCUAUUAUGCAAUUCAUGUAGGGAACUUGUAGGGAAUGUUUUGGGUUGUCGUAUGCAAUCAUCCAACCUAAUAACUUGUGGAAAAAAACUGAGGGUUAAUUAGUGCAAUUCACGGUUAAUUUGGGGCGUUGAGUAUUCAUAGCUUAUCGAAAAGCAACUGGAAAUCGUUUUGUAUGCAAGUAUGUGGAGAAGAACCUCCUAGCUAAUCUUCCAUCCAUAAGUUUCAUUCAAAUUCACUUACAAUCUGUUUUGUUUUACAAAGUUUGUUUUGUUUUCAAAUUCAUUAAAACCAAAAUGCCCCUUUUACUUUAUUGUUUCAAAGUGUUUAAUUUCUGUUUUGGUUGUGUGUUAGAGUGUUUUGAUUCACCCAAAUUUGUCUAAGAAUUUGUUUACUUUGUUCUUGUCUUAAUUUAAUUAUUUUCGUAAAAAAUCAACCCCAUCUUAUUUCUUUGAGUCAUAUUAAUUAGAACUUGUCUCAGAUUAUGUUUUUAAGUGUUUUAGUUCAUUAGAAAACCAAAAUUUGUCCAAGUUUGUGUGAGAGUCCCAAAAUUGCCCAGAUUGUGUUUUUAAGGUAGUUUUGAGUGUUUAGGGGCUGUUUUGAGUCUUUUGGUUUGUUUUAGUGUUUUAAAGUAUAGUUUUGCAUUCUUUGAGUCUAGUUAGUGUUUUAAACUUUGUUUUCACGUUUUCAAGUCAGUUUCCAAGUGAUUUAGCAAUCCCUCCUAAUCCCCGGCCUAGAACGAUCCCUACUUACAUACUUUACUACAAUUGAUAAAAAGAGGGUUUAAUUUGUGUGUUUAGUUAUUUUACGCAUCAAAUUUUGGCGCUGUUGCCGGGGAUUAGCAACUUUGCUAAUCUCUUGGAUUGUUUUCUUUCGAAUUAUUGUAUUUUGUUUAAGUUUUUGUUUAAGUUGCUGAUUUGUUUUGUUUUCUUUGUUUUUAGGUACUA